rnacentral:rRNA from 1 species
CCUUAGAUGUUCUGGGCUGCACGCGCGCUACACUGAAGCUAUCAACACGUUUUCCCUCCCUGAGAAGGGCGGGUAACCUUUUGAAUCAGCUUCGUGGUAGGGAUCGGGGCUUGCAAUUGUUCCCCGUGAACCAGGAAUUCCUAGUAGACGCGAGUCAUAAGCUCGCAUCGAUUAAGUCCCUGCCCUUUGUACACACCGCCCGUCGCUACUACCGAUUGAACGUUUUAGUGAGGCAUUUGGACCGACGCAUCUCAGUUUAACCGCUGGUUUGUGUUGGAAAGACUUCCAAACUUGAGCGUUUAGAGGAAGUAAAAGUCGUAACA